UUGGUGUCCUCAAAUUGAAAGCCAAGG
rnacentral:piRNA from 1 species